GGCAGGGGCUGUGGCAUUGGCAGGGGCUGGGGCAGGCGCACGGGCUGGGGCAGGCACAGGUGCAGGCUGCCUCACCAUGCACAGCUCAGGGACAGAAGAGAAGCUGGGGGUUAGCAGGGCUGGAGGGCAGGGCUGGCUGCAGGUGGUUGAGAGUGGGUGGGUUUAGCAGGCUGUCAGCGCCAAGGCCUCUGGGUCCCUGGUGUCCAGGGCUGCUCAGUCCCUAGGCCCUAAGGGCAACAAAUGCACCUUAGAAAUUACUCACUUGCUGGGGAAGGGGACCAGGCCAUGCAGCCACAGACCCCAACUUACGAGUCACCAGAAGGCACAGAGCUCCAGGGGGACCCAAUGCACAAGUCACUGAGAGGCCGGAGCCUCAGGGAGACCCUGGGUCAGCGUUGCUUAGUGUCUUGUGAUUCCACACAGAGAUGACCCCGCACUCUGUAGAGAGGAUCCUGACUUCCAGGGACUCUGCUCGUUGAAGUCUUAGGCCCCCUGACCUGGAAAACCACCCCCAGGUCUUGGGAACAACAGGAGAGGAGGAGCCCCCUGUGCUGUGCGACUUUGGAAGCAACCCCAGGGUCCAUCCGUCAGCCUCUCUAACAUUCAGCCCACCAGGAGCUCUGGGCGUCUCACGACGGGGUUAGGGGGACUGGAGAGACAACUCCCACUGUCCAAAAGAUGGCAACUCAGAGCCCCCAAGGAGCAGGGUCUCUGCCUUCUGAGAGGCGCCACCCCCCAAUGGUGCAAUGUGUUCCCUCCUGAUCCCAGAAUGCCACUGAGGCCAUGGAAGGAGCUGCGUGAAUACUCCGUCAGUGUGACUAAGUUGCACGCACAAAGUCCCUAGAAAUGCGGUGGCCGCAGUCCCAGCAAGGCCAUUCUGGGAAGCCCCGGAGGAGCCUAACGCUGGAAUUUUAGGGCCGGGCUGCACAGGACACUCCUCUGAGACCACCUGGAAAUCACAGCUGGAGCAUGGUGGGACCCGACCCCGGGGGUCAGAGCCCCCGCCUCCCGCAGUGGAAGGCAAGAUCCGAUCACACCGUGGUGCACACUCCUGAUAAAGGAAAGCCAUUACAGGGUGCUGGAUUUGGGACUGGAUAUUCCUGGGUUGCAGAAAGGACCCUUCCUCUCUCCUCAUCUGAACCUCCAGCUUCCCAACCCCAGGGGUCUUUGUAAAUUCCCUUGUGGGGGCAUCAUUUGUUGAACUGGUCUAACCAAUAAUUUGGUUCUUGGAUUAGUUUCCCCAGCUCAAGAACCUGAUGCCACCAAGCUGCUCUUCAAUUAUUUAUCAGUCUGGACGGGAAAGGAAAAACAGUGAAGCCCACUUAGAGGAAAACCAUCCAUGACGGACGUUCGCAGGCAGCAGCCGUCUCACCGUAACCGUGGUAUCUGUCGGCAGCCCCCCAUCAAACCCAGAGCAUUCGCAGCCACAUUUACAACAGUUAACUGUGGUGUCACAGUUGCAUUCACUAGAUAAUAGUAAAACUCUUUUUCAAAACACUCUAUAUUUAAGUAAACCAUUUACUUUGAUGAUGACGUUGUCCUCCUCAACCACGAAUUUCAAAAAGGCUGAUUAGCCGUAAUGUAAAACGUCAGGAUGUGGCAUGGUUUUUAGAAAGAUGAGAGGAGUUUGGGUGUUUGGAGGUGCCUGCUCUUCUCAAGCUUUCCUUGGCUUAUUCUCCCGGGUGGGCCACAGCUUCACUGGUGAGGAGGCCACACCACGGGCAUUUGGCUAAAUACUGGGCCGUUCUGGCCCAAACGCCCCUCCAGAUGGAAGGGAUAUGACUAAUUAGUAAGAAAAAUGCUUACCUGCUGGAAAUUAAAUCCUUCUUAUAUUAUAUUAACAGAGUUUACAGUUGAGGAAAGUUAAUGCCGUGAAGAUACCCUAAAAGGCUUUGCAGUCCCCCAAGAAGGCACUGGGCUCCUGGUCUGGGAGUGCGGUUCCCCUUCCUCUGCUAUUUCAAGGGAGCAGAUCAGGUAGUUUUAGAAACUGGGAACUGUAUGUGUAAAUGCCAUCCUUUCUUUCGAGCCAAAGGACCUUGAAUGCAGGCAGCUCUUUUCCCUAAAUCUGGACAUCUACACCAUGAAAUCCCGAGUUCUGAAUACUCAAGCCCAUAGGGUCUCAUCAGGGUCGGUCUACACUGACAACCCCAGGCUUCCAGGACACCCAUGUGUCCCAGGCUGCAGGGCGAGCCCUGAGGCUUCAGGCAAAUCCGCUGUGCCGAGCGGAGCAGACAGAGCGUGUCAGAGGAAAGCGAUCGUUGGCUGAGGGUCCUUAAUUUCGCCUGAGACCCACCGGUAUGCACAGCUGAGGUCUCCCGUGCCUCACUCUGGCUUCCGGAAAAACCUGGGUGCGCAGUUCCACUCACUUGGCAGCCACACCUUUGCUCAGAAGCAGGAAGGGUCCCAGUCCGAGCAGAGACCUGAGCUGUGGGGAUGCCUGGGGACCCAGGGAGUGGGGGCUUGGUGUUGAGCCGAGGUGACGAGGCCCCUUCCCCCUGGCCUCCCUGCCCCAGAGCGGCACUUGCAACAAAAACCUACCUGCAAGGACAGGGUCUUUGUCAUAAAAUCCAGGGAAGGAAAGAGGGAGGGAGGGAAGAAAUUUGUGUCUUGUAAACCUCAAUGCAAAUCCAGAAGUGACAGAGCAACUCAAAAGUUCAGGAAGAAACUCCGAUGACGCCUUCUUCGUGCACAGCACGCCGGAGAGCAGGCUGUGGGCUGGGACAGCAGACAGGCACUAGGCGUCUCCAUACGUACGUUACUGGGGACGGGCUUUCAGUCACACAGUGUGUUUAAGUUUAUAGAAAUGCGCGAAAACCAAACCAACAAGCAAAGCAUCAAGCCCAAGACGGCACGUUCAGUAUGAAUGCAUUUUCGCUAAAAUAAUUUAGAUAUAAAGAUGGAAACGCCUGGACAAGUAGAUGCCAAAAUGUAGCCCUGAUCAUCUCUGGAGAUGGGCUGAGGUGAUUUUCUUUACUAUUUAUAUUAAUAUUGUUGCUGUUAUUUACUUCUCUGUACCGUUGACAUCUCUUGCAAAGAUAAAGAGGUCACAGGUCACUCAGUCCUGCAGGGAAACACCUCCGUGACCCCAACAUCCAGAGAGGGCCUGGGGGACGCAUGGGCAGAGCUGGCAGAGGACUGCAAUUCAGGUCAUUCUCAUUUAUUACAGUUAUGAUUUAAUUUAUGCCAAGUUUUUGCGUAGGCCAAAGGAAAAGGCCCCCCACUCCGGUCUCUGUGGAGAAGAGACAAAGAAGCCAUGGGAAGGGGAGGAGGCGGCUGUUUUCUCAGAGGCUCUAGCAGCAGGCAUGGCCGCCCUGGCAGGAGCCCCGAUCAGGCGUGGACGCCGCAUUCACUGGAGACCCUGCUCCACCGAGUGGAAGGAGAAGGCGCCUCGUGAUGCCUGGUUGCCCAGACCCCAUCCAGUCAUUUGCUAAAUUCCCACUGGCUCCGAAGAGAAAAGUCUGGAAGUGCAGUGGCUGGAAACCGGAGCCCACAGUAAUGGCCCCGUGGUCUGCUGAGGUUUUGCCGAUGGUUUCCAGAAUGGGAGGAGGGGUCCCUGAGCAGCAGCGGUGAGUCCCUCAGAGGGCCGUGGCCGGGCACUCGCUCAGACGGAAGUAACAGGGGUUUUCUCACCUGGCGCUGAGGAUCCAGACAUAGUCUCAGUCUGUCGCUCCAGCUGCAGAGCAGUGGCACGAUCUCGGUUCACCGCAACCUCUGCCUCCCGGGCUCAAGUGAUUCUCCUGCCUCUGCCUCCCGAGGAGCUGGGAUUACAGGCUCGCACCUCCACGUCCAGCUGAUUUUUUGUAUUUUUAGUAGAGACGGG
rnacentral:lncRNA from 1 species